rnacentral:precursor_RNA from 11 species
UUUUCAGGGAAAGCUUGGCUCCCCACCCGGGUGCAUUGUAGUUGCAUUGCACUUUUGCGUUCGAUAACACGGUGCAAUACUUCUGCAAUGCAAGCCAGGUGGAUCGGAUGCACGAUCAUCGACUGU